GCGUUGAAACACCGGCUCCCGUACUAUCAGAGAAGUUAAGUAACAUCGAGCUUGGUCAGUACCUAGAUGGGUGACCACUUGGGGAUACAAGGCAUUGUAAG